rnacentral:rRNA from 1 species
UACGAAGGGGGCUAGCGUUGCUCGGAUUUACUGGGCGUAAAGGGCGCGUAGGCGGACAGUUAAGUCGGGGGUGAAAGCCCGGGGCUCAACCUCGGAAUUGCCUUCGAUACUGGCUGUCUUGAGUGUGAGAGAGGUGUGUGGAACUCCGAGUGUAGAGGUGAAAUUCGUAGAUAUUCGGAAAGAAACACCAGUGGCGAAGGCGACACACUGGCUCACUACUGACGCUGGAGGCGACGGAAAGCGUGGGGAGCAAACGGG